rnacentral:rRNA from 1 species
GACGAACGCUGGGGGCGUGCUUAACACAUGCAAGUCGAACGGUAAGGCCCUGCUUUUGUGGGGUACUCGAGUGGAGAACGGGUGAGUACCACGUGAGUAACCUGCCCUUGUCUUUGGGAUACCUUCAGGAAACUGGGGCUAAUACCGGAUAGGAGAUCCUGCUGCAUGGUGGGGGUUGGAAAGUUUCGGCGGUUGGGGAUGGACUCGCGGCUUAUCAGCUUGUUGGUGGGGUAGUGUCUUACCAAGGCUUUGACGGUUAGCCGCUCUGAGAGGGUGACCGGCCACAGUGUGACCGAGGAACGGCCCGGACUCCAACUGGAGCCAGCAGUGAAGAAUGGAGCAAGAUGGGCUGAAGCCGGAAGCAGCGACGCCGCGUGGGGGAGGACUGCCUUCGGGUUGUAAUCCGCCUUCGCCUGAUACUAACCGUGAGUGACGGUAACAGGUAAAGAAGCACCGGCUAACUACGUG